UACGUAGGGACCAAGCGUUGUUCGGAUUUACUGGGCGUAAAGGGCGCGUAGGCGGCAAUUCAAGUCACUUGUGAAAUCUCCGAGCUUAACUCGGAACGGUCAAGUGAUACUGUCUUGCUAGAGUACAGAAGGGGCAAUCGGAAUUCUUGGUGUAGCGGUGAAAUGCGUAGAUAUCAAGAGGAACACCUGAGGUGAAGACGGGUUGCUGGGCUGAUACUGACGCUGAGGCGCGAAAGCUAGGGUAGCAAACGGG
rnacentral:rRNA from 1 species